UACGGGGGGAGCAAGCGUUGUUCGGAUUUACUGGGCGUAAAGGGCGCGUAGGCGGCCAGCGCAAGUCAGUUGUGAAAUCUCCGAGCUUCGACUCGGAAAGGUCAACUGAUACUGCGCGGCUAGAGUGCAGAAGGGGCAACUGGGAAUCUCGGUCGUAGCGGUGAAAUGCGUAGAUAUCGAGAGGAACACCUGCGGCGAAGGCGGGUUGCUGGGCUGACCACGUGACGCUGAUGCGCGAAAGCCAGGGGAGCGAACGGG
rnacentral:rRNA from 1 species